UUUGGGACAGUGCAUUGAGAUAAUGAUUCUGUCACUGUGAAUGUUCAGUAGCAUAUAAGAUGUCUUCAGGCAAGAUGAAUGGGAGGUGGAAAAAACUUCAGGCAGAAAAAUAACUCCAAUUAGACAAAAGGAAUGGAAGAAGGCCAGCAUGAGGGCUGAGUUCAACUGCUGUCUCUGACACGUACUGAUUGUAUUAACUAACCAUGGACAAGUCAUUAAACACACGAUUAUCCAGAUCCCUCCCUGAGGCUCUGAGCUGCACAGGACAAGCCAUAAUGCAUUAGGGAAGUCUCCACAUUGUGUUCCCCCAAAAGAUAAAAAUCCAGCCAAAUCUUGGAGGCCUUUCCUGGAUUUCCCUUAUCCUAUAUCCUACCUGCUGAUAUCUUCCAUCUACUCUGAACGUAUCUUUUAUAUACCUGGUCCUUUUUGAGAACAAAGGACAAACAACAGCAGCAAUAUAUCUAUUUUGUGUAUGUUGUCUCAUCAUAUA